GCGUGGAUUUCCGAGCCCGGUCAAAGGAGCGGGAUUUAGGGUCCCGUCGCGAAGGCGUUCGCAGGUUCAACUCCUGCUCCACGCA
rnacentral:tRNA from 1 species